ACUGACGCUGAGGAGCGAAAGCGUGGGGAGCGAACAGGAUUAGAUAGCCUGGUAGUCCACGCCGUAAACGGUGGGCGCUAGAUGUGGGGACCCUUCCAUGGUUUCUGCGUCGCAGCUAACGCAUUAAGCGCCCCGCCUGGGGAGUACGGUCGCAAGACUAAAACUCAAAGGAAUUGACGGGGGCCCGCACAAGCAGCGGAGCAUGCGGCUUAAUUCGAUGCAACGCGAAGAACCUUACCUAGACUUGACAUAUACGGAAAACAUGCAGAGAUGUAUGGUCCUAACGGGCCGUUUACAGGUGGUGCAUGGUUGUCGUCAGCUCGUGUCGUGAGAUGUUGGGUUAAGUCCCGCAACGAGCGCAACCCUCGUUCUAUGUUGCCAGCACGUAAUGGUGGGGACUCAUAGGAGACUGCCGGGGUCAACUCGGAGGAAGGUGGGGAUGACGUCAAAUCAUCAUGCCCCUUAUGUCUAGGGCUGCACGCAUGCUACAAUGGCUGGUACAAAGGGCUGCGAUACCGCAAGGUGGAGCGAAUCCCAAAAAGCCAGUCUCAGUUCGGAUUGGGGUCUGCAACUCGACCCCAUGAAGUUGGAGUUGCUAGUAAUCGCAGAUCAGCAACGCUGCGGUGAAUACGUUCCCGGGCCUUGUACACACCGCCCGUCACGUCACGAAAUCGGUAACACCCGAAGCCGGUGGCCUAACCGUAAGGAA
rnacentral:rRNA from 1 species